GCUCGGGUGGCGGAACUGGCAGACGCGAGGGACUUAAAAUCCCUUGGGGAAACCCAUGCGGGUUCGAUCCCCGCCCCGGGCA
rnacentral:tRNA from 1 species